CUUCUCAAAAAAAAAAAAAGCAAAAGUAAAUCACAUAUUCUUCCUCUCCGUCGGCCCACCUCCAAGUUCAGCACCGACGCCUCUCGCACCACUGCCUUCCCCUGCCUCCUUGAAAUCCGUUUCCACUACACCGCCUUCCACCCACUCCUUCAAAUUCAUUCCCAAUACAUCGCCUUCUACCCAUUCCUUCAAAUUCGUUCCCACUAUCACGCCGCUGCCGGUCUGGCACCACCCAUUUCUUAGUGACAGAGAGAGAUAGUUGUGUAUAGUUGAAGAAUGUAAAGGUUACUUGUGAUGAGAUCUGUGUGAGAGAGACCGAGACGAGAUCGAGAUCGAUAUCUCUCCGCCGCCGAAAUAUAGAUCCGCUGCCGCCGCUUAUAUAUAUUUCUUUUUGUUGUGUGUUUAUAACUACCAUUUUCACCGUUGUUGUGAUGGUGGAUCUGAAGAAGAUGGUUGUGGUGGUGGUAUAGCACGACAGCGCAAGUUGAGCCGGUGGCGGUGGGCGGGUGGGUGGAUGGAAAGGGAAGAAGACAUCAUUUUUUUUUCUUUU
rnacentral:lncRNA from 1 species